UACGGCCGUAUGACGUUGAAACAUCGGAUCUCGUACGAUCACCGAAGUUAAGCAACGUCGAGCCUGGUCAGUAUCUAGAUGGCUGGACACUUGAGAAUACCAGGUACUGUAAG